GGCCGGAUAGCUUAGUAAGUCAAAGCUUUUCUAAUUAAUGGAAGCGAUCCAGGUUCGACUCCUGGUCCAACCG
rfam:Microbotryum lychnidis-dioicae p1A1 Lamole unplaced genomic scaffold supercont1.5, whole genome shotgun sequence.